AGGGCCAUUGUGACUCAAGCUGCAGCUAAAACCAGUCCAAUGCAACAGACGUUUCAAAAACAGCAGCAGAAAAAUGAUGACCUAACUGAAUGGAACAAGAAGGCACGUAUUUUCAAGAAGACAUCUCUAUUCUUAGAGUAGAAAUUUCCCUUCAAGAUGACAAGUGGUUCAAACCCUUCAGGAUCUUACUUGCCCUCAAAAGUAAGGUGAGCCUUGAACAGAUGCCAAGUGGUAACUAUCCAGAAGGGAAAGGAGAGUCUCUAUUAUUAACCUAGGCUAAAGACAGAUAUUAUUCUUCCCACAGAUGUUCCAAAAUAGAUGACAACUACUUGAAGGAAUUGAAUGAGGACUUAAAGCUAAGGAAGCAGGAACUGCUAGAGAUCCUAAAACCUCUUGAAGAUAAGAACAAUCUCUUAUUCCAGAAGUUGAUGUCUAACUUGGAAGAAAAACAGAGAAGGUAAGGGCUCCCUACUCAGGAUUUCCUAGAGGGGAAAAAGCUGGAGAACUUUAAUCCAUAGGAUUAACAAUGAUUAUUUACAUUUUUAAAAAGGUUUAGACAUUAAGCUAUAAUAGAUAAAGAAUUUGUAGCCACAAAUCAGUGGCAAGUAAUCUUUUAUUUACUUUUAGUAAAAUUACAUAUGACUCAGCCCUCAUCUCAAGGAGCUACAGCUAUCACCCUUCUUCCCUAGGAUGCCCACCCGAGGAACAGAGAAGAGCCUUUAGUAUCGUCAGUGUAUCAUGGUUACACUGAUAGCUCCUUAUACAUGUUUGUGGAAUCACUUUAGGGUAGAUGACUCUGCCCUUCCCAUGCAAAGCAGUGAAAUAGAAAAAUUUUCUGGGCCUAGGAGUCUUCUGGAGGUCUGGCCUCUUUAAUAUGCUAGGCAGAUAAGGUCUCAACUCUUAACUAGAGCACUCACUGUUCUUGGGACCCACCAACUUUGUUUCCUUUCCAGUCUCAAAGAAUCUCACCUUAAUGGAUCUAUCUUCAUUCUUUACCCUUACAGUAAGCAUCUCAGGGAGCCCCGACUUUUGGAGAGCAAAAGCCAGGCAGAAAGUUGUGAUCAAGCACCAGCUGCUUACAAUGCAGAAAUAAACGUCUCUCAGGGCAAGAGAACACAAAGGCUUGCUUCGCUGCUUAUAAUUAAGGAGGAAAAAGUACCAUAAACAUAAGCAUAAAUUAAUGUUUUUAAAGAAUAGAGAGUCUUUGACUCACUUGGUAUUGAUUCAGAUUUUGUUAGAAACUUCUUGAUGGCUUGGAUUCUCUGAGAGCUACCAUAAGGAUAUAAGUGGUUUCCCCAACUAACUCAAAUGUCUUUCACAUGGAGAAGCAAUACCAACAGAGAUGGGGUAGGACAUAAUUCUUGGAUUUAUGCUGAAGUCAACAGAUUCUAUGAACUCCUUCUUCACAGGGGCAAAACACCCUUUCUACUCAAAAGCCAUACACCAAAAUAUUUUUCUGAAGGAGUAAAGAAGAGUCUCACUGGCUGUUGGAGGCCUAAGUUUUGAGCAUUGUUGAACACAGAAUUCAUUUUAGAGCACAUAGCUGAGGCAAAUGUCAAUUGGGAAUAAAAUCAUCCUAUAGAGAGCUACUAUGUCCAGAAGGAAUUCUGUAAUUCCUAUGACUUUGGCACCCAUCUCUCUCCCUUGACAGAACGCUUUCUGACUGCUUGCAGAGUAUUAAUACUACCCUUUAGGAAGUAUUAUGUUUUGUGACGUCUUUUCAUUCUAGUCUACAGAUCAUGAGGCAGAUCAUGGCAGGAAAGGGGAGUGAAGAAUCCUCAGUCAUGGAGCUCAUUAAGGAAGCAGAGGACAUGAAGCAGAAUCUGGUAAGAGGUUGGUGGGCAUUUCAGGGAAUUGCCUCCUGAACAGGGCUCAACUCAAUUACUACCAUCAGAUGUGGAAGGAAAGACAGUUCAUCUCUAGCAUCUGAGGCUCCAAUACUCCUAUCUCCUUCAUCUAGAAAGGGGUCAGAUGAAAUGUUGGGCAAAUUCAAGACUUGGUAGCAAAAAUUCUAUUUCUUUUUGACUCUUAAAAACUUUUCAUUUAGGGGUUAGUAAUACAAGCAUAUUAACCCUUCACAUUUCAGAAAGAAUAGAAAAUACCAAAGUAAAAUAAAAGAAAUAGUUUGCUUCAGGAGACUCAUAAGAGUUUAAAAAACCAACAAGGUAAAGGAUCUUAAAAAUUAUAAAUUAGUGGUCUAAGCCCCAGAGAAACUUCUGUAUGAUCAGAACAUCUUAAGUGUUGUGUGAGGAACACAUUUCUGUUGAUAUCAUACUAUGAUUACCAUAAUUAUAGUUAUUAUUAAAAAUCAUUAUUAUUUUUUUAUUAUCAUCAUCAUCAAACUCAUCUCUCAUGUUCCUGGAUUUUGAGCUAGGUCUAUUUAUUGCCUUCCUUUAUGGUUUGUUUUAUACCUGUGUCCCCAUCCCUUUCCCCUCAUUAUUUACAAUUUCUUCCAAUUUCACUUUAAUGACUGGACAAACACGUUUCUGUUUGUUUGGUUUCCUCCCCACCCCCAACAGGAAAGGAAAAACAAGAUGCUUCGGAAGGAAAUGGAGAUGCUAUGGAACAAGGUGUGCCUCUAAGGAUCUCUUGAUAGAAUUGUCUUACAGACCCUAAUGCAAAGAACUUCCCUCUCCUCUGGUCCCCAUUCUCAUUUUGUCACGUCCCGGCUUCCAUCCUUGCCUCCUUCCAAUCCAUCCUUCGCACAGCAGCCAGAGUGAUAUUUUUGAAAUAAUCAAAUCACGUCGUUAUUCUUAUGGAAACCAUUUAUAGCUGCUCCUUAUUGUGGCAUAAUGUGGCUGUUGCCUGCCUCUCUCUUCUCAUAGAAGUCUUCCCCUUACUUUCUAUGCAACCCACACGGGCCUCCUUAUGGAUUCUCAAACAUGCCCAGACUCUUCCUAUCUCAAGGCUUUUGCUUUACCCUGGCCUAUAAUACUAUUUCUUUUGGUUGGCUCAUAUUCAUGCUUCAGGUCUCUGCUUAAAUGUCACCUCCUCAGAGAGGUCCUCCUUGUUCACUCUAUCUAAAAUAGGGCACCCCGGGGCGCCUAGGUGGCUCGGUCGGUUGGGGGUCCGACUUUGGCUCAGGUCAUGAUCUCGUGGUCCCUGAGUUCCAGCCCUGUGUUGGGCUCUGUGCUGACAGCUUGGAGCCUGGAGCCUGCUUCAGAUUCUGUGUCUCCCUCUCUCUCUCUGGCCCAUCCUCCCUCUCUCUCUCUCUCUCAAAAAUAAAUAAAUGUUAAAAAAAUUUUUUUGGGGGGGGCGCCUGGGUGGCGCAGUCGGUUAAGCGUCCGACUUCAGCCAGGUCACGAUCUCGCGGUCCGUGAGUUCGAGCCCCGCGUCGGGCUCUGGGCUGAUGGCUCAGAGCCUGGAGCCUGUUUCCGAUUCUGUGUCUUCCUCUCUCUCUGCCCCUCGCCCGUUCAUGCUCUAUCUCUCUGUCCCCAAAAUAAAUAAACGUUGAAAAAAAAUUUUUAAUUAAAAAAAAAAUUUUUUUUAAUAAAUAAAAUAGGGCACCCCUUCCUCACUUUCUAUUAUAUAACUCUAUUCAUGUCCUCCAUAACACUUUUUAUAAUUAAACUUAUUAUUUUUAUUUUAUUAUUAUUAUUAUUAAUUAUGAUUAUACUUGUUUCUUAUCUCCCUGACCCCCUCUGGAAUACAAGCUCCUCCAGUUUCUUGACUGCUUUGUUCAUCUCUGAAUCCUUAGCAUGUAGCACAAUGCUUAGAACAUAGUAGACAAUAAAUGUAAGUUGGAUGAAUGAAUGAAUAAAUACCUAAUUCUAAUUCUCCUAUGAUUUUGCAACAAUCACGGCAUUGCCUAAUAUAUAAUAGUAGGGCCUUUUGCUGGGAAACCAGGUGGGAGUGGAUGUUCCUUUGUAGUCUAAGUUGUUGGGAUUUGAGUGCUUUUUCACAGACUAGAAGACUAGAAGAAUAGAUUGUGUCUUGUGAUAUAAACAGUGUGUAGUGUGAUCUCUGACUGCUUUUUUCAUAUUAACUUUCCACAAAUAAUCAGGAUACCAUCAAGUCUUGCAUCUUGACCUGAGAUCUGCUCCUACUUCUCAGAGGUAGCUACAAAUCAGUUCUGUGAAUUGUCAGUUUUAGUUCUUCUGUUUUUGAGUCCUAGUGAUAAGAACUAUGCCAGCACAAUUUGUCUAUGAAAAUCCAGCUUCUUCAAAGCUCCCAAAAGAUUUUAAAAGGGAUGUCCCUGUAUGUUAGCUUGUGAUUGGCUUUCCCUACCCAUAGGGAGAGAGAAAAACAGUAUGGUCAGGGGUUAAGAACAUAAGCUUCAGGGUUCACAAGAUCUGCUUCAAAUUCCAGCUCUGUACUUUUGUAGCUGUGUGACCCUAAACAAAUGACUUAGCCUCUUCAAAUAUCUUUUCCUCAUUGGAAAAGAUGGAAGUAAAAAUAGUCCUGUGAGGCUUAAAUGAGAAUGUUUGUAAUGUAGUAGCAUAUUGUAAAUAAGUAAAGAAAUGUGCAAGUAGCUUACAGUACUUAUGGCUUAUAAUAAGGGUACAGUUAAUAGUUUUUAUUGUUAUAAGUUACACUAAAGACACCAAAUAGAAGGACUUGUUCCAUUCUGAACCCCAUUUGGUAGUACACUUUUCUGGUCGAACCCUGACAGUUUCCUGACUGGCAGAAACCAAAAAACCUUGACUUAUAUUGGUUUUCCACUUCCCUCACUAAUUCCCACUAAUUUAAAGCUUUGCCAAAACGUCUCUCUACAGACAUUCGACACAGAAGAACUUGGUGAUCAACAAAAAGCACCGCAGAUAAAAAACAAAGCAGACUUGCAGGAGGGGAAGGCAAGUGGACUACAUGUUACUUAGAAUUUCAGGGUUGUUGAUGCCACACUGCUGGAAACAGCCUGUUGACAAUCAGGGCUAAUUUGGGCAGGCAAAUAGGCGGGAUCUGGGCCUUGAGCAUAUGUGUGUUGGAUUUACUGUUGGCUGAGACAUUGUACUUCUUUCCCGGGACCUUCUCUUCCUUUAGCUCUCUUCUUUUAUCCAAGGUUCCCAAAACCCCCUCCUCACCUAGGAAGACCAAGAAUGAACUGGAGACAUCAUGUGCAGAGAAAGUGAAAGAGAAAAAGAAGGUAGUGUGAUCUUUCUGAAUGGUAGGGGCUUUUAGAGGUGAUAGAAUGGAAAUUUUUAAUAAUGUAUUAGUAUGCUCCUGAAACUGAUACAAGUUUUAUAGGAGAUGUGGUUCCUUUGGGAUAUUAUAUUUGAAUCAGAGUGGCAUUGCAAGUUUAGGGGAAAUAACGUUGACGAGGGCAAAGUGGGAGAAACUAUACCAACAAUGUAACUCCACAAUAACUAUGUGAUGUCAAAAUAAUAGCUAAUUUGUUUUUGAACAUUUAUUUAGGGAUAUUAUGCUUGUAUCUAAUCUUCUCACAACAAAUUUAUUCAUAAAAAUUGAUUCUAUUCAUUUAGCUUUUAGCUUUUAGAGCAUGGAUUGUACCGAUGAGGGCUACUAGAAGGACUGUGCAGUUGAAACCAAUCUGUUAGUGAAUCUAUGACAGCAUACUUUGGCUAUGAAGUCUUUGCAGCAUUUUGAGAACGUUGAUUUCUGAUCUCAAUUUAUUUUGUCACCCAGAAGCUCUUUCUUCCACCAGGAAAAGCCACAGAGGAAAAUGGAAUGGGUCAGGUAUCAGGAACAAGCCAACAUCCUUCAGGUACUAAGAUCUUCCAAGGUUGGACAUGGGAUACAGUUUCACUCAAAUAAUACAACAUCUUUUAGUUUCAUAAUAGUAAUCCCUAUGCCCUCCUCUGGAUUACCAAUUAUCCUGCUAAAAGAAAUGUUCCAUGGCGAGAUUGCUGUGGAAACCUAUCUCCAGCUUCACCUUGAAUAACCUAAGAUAAAUACAUUUUUUUUCCUUUAGUCUUGAUUUUGUUCUAUUUGAAAUGGGGGUGGGGGGAAUCACAAAUACUUUCUGCCCAACUUUAAAGACUGAGCAUGAUGGGAUCAUUUUAAACUUCUGAGUAAAAAGGUUUCAAGUAACAGGUGGUUUAGAGAAGCCAAUACUAUAUGUGUAGCUCUGAAAAAUGUUCUCCUGUAGAAUGGCUUUAAUGGCAAAAUGAUUGAGUUGAGAAUUGAAGCCUUGAAGAACUACCAGAAGGCCAAUGACCUGAAAUUAUCACUGAACUUACAGCAGAAUUUGGAGCCAAAGCAAGCAUAUUUUAAUCUUCCUGGGUCUCGAGGUA
rnacentral:lncRNA from 1 species